AGAUUUACAGUUUCUUUAGCAGGAGGAAAAUCAACAAGAACAUGGAUCCUAUCACACUCAGGGUCUCAUCAUGAAGCAGAUGGAACCCUCAAAAGUCAUCCUCCUACUAUUGGAAAUUUUGUUGAAGAAACAUGGGAAGAUUUAGAAAUUUAUAAUUUGCAAUCCAGCCCUCAAAAUACCAGGAAAGUACAACUAGUCCUUCUGGGGAUGUUUUCUCAAUUCUUCUUCAGAUUUCAUAGAAGAAACCUGAGGUCUGUGAUUAAAGUAAGCAGAAGGUUUUAUGUUUCUUUUGUCACUGAGUCGUAGAGAAGAAACAAAACAAAACAUGUUCAGCUCAGUCUCAACCGAACCAAUCACAUAGCUUUAUUAAACAUAGCAUCAACAGAAAGAAAAUAUGAAGUCCUUGCCCAGGAAGGAUGGAUGCCAAGAACAGAGUAAUUUUCUGGCUUUGUCCUUGAUAUCUAUAAAUUUUAUUCUUUGUGCAAGUCACUACGUUCCUAUAUAGCUGUUGAUAUUAAACAUUGGAGGAAACUUACAAAUGGACAGUGAAAUGCAUUAGGGAUUACCAGAUGUUAGCUAGCCACACUCCAUGAGAACCCUAUUCACAUCUGUUUUUGACCUCCAAAGUACAUAAAGCACUUUCUUUUCUCUUCUAUUAUUCGAUCUCCUUAUUUUUGUGGCCAAAUAUAUAUUGGAUGCAAAAACUUUUUCAG
rnacentral:lncRNA from 1 species